rnacentral:tRNA from 1 species
GGCACUGUAGCAUAGUGGUAAAGAGCAGGGCUUGUAACUGAAAGGUUGUGGGUUCGAUUCCCUGCUGGGGCA